rnacentral:rRNA from 1 species
UGGGGAAUAUUGCACAAUGGGCGCAAGCCUGAUGCAGCCAUGCCGCGUGUAUGAAGAAGGCCUUCGGGUUGUAAAGUACUUUCAGUCGGGAGGAAGGUGUCAAGGUUAAUAACCUUGGCAAUUGACGUUACCGACAGAAGAAGCACCGGCUAACUCCGCGCCAGCAGCCGCGGUAAUACGGAGGGUGCAAGCGUUAAUCGGAAUUACUGGGCGUAAAGCGCACGCAGGCGGUUGAUUGAGUCAGAUGUGAAAUCCCCGGGCUUAACCCGGGAAUUGCAUCUGAUACUGGUCAGCUAGAGUCUUGUAGAGGGGGGUAGAAUUCCAUGUGUAGCGGUGAAAUGCGUAGAGAUGUGGAGGAAUACCGGUGGCGAAGGCGGCCCCCUGGACGAAGACUGACGCUCAGGUGCGAAAGCGUGGGGAGCAAACAGG